GACGAACGCUGGCGGCGUGCUUAACACAUGCAAGUCGAACGGAAAGGCCCUGCUUUUGUGGGGUGCUCGAGUGGCGAACGGGUGAGUAACACGUGAGUAACCUGCCCUUGACUUUGGGAUAACUUCAGGAAACUGGGGCUAAUACCGGAUAGGAGCUCCUGCUGCAUGGUGUGGGUUGGAAAGUUUCGGCGGUUGGGGAUGGACUCGCGGCUUAUCAGCUUGUUGGUGGGGUAGUGGCUUACCAAGGCUUUGACGGGUAGCCGGCCGGAGAGGGUGACCGGACACAUUGGGACUGAGAUACGGCCCAGACUCCAACGGGAGGCAGCAGUGGGGAAGAUUGCACAAUGGGCGGAAGCCUGACGCAGCAACGCCGCGUGCGGGAUGACGGCCUUCGGGUUGUAAACCGCUUUCGCCUGUGACGAAGCGUGAGUGACGGUAAUGGGUAAAGAAGCACCGGCUAACUACGUG
rnacentral:rRNA from 1 species